UACGAAGGGGGCUAGCGUUGCUCGGAAUCACUGGGCGUAAAGCGCACGUAGGCGGCUUCUUAAGUCAGGGGUGAAAUCCUGGAGCUCAACCCCAGAACUGCCUUUGAUACUGAGGAGCUCGAGUCCGGGAGAGGUGAGUGGAACUCCGAGUGUAGAGGUGAAAUUCGUAGAUAUUCGGAAGAACACCAGUGGCGAAGGCGGCUCACUGGCCCGGUACUGACGCUGAGGUGCGAAAGCGUGGGGAGCAAACAGG
rnacentral:rRNA from 1 species